ensembl:lincRNA linc-7 ncRNA
UCCCUACUUUUGGUUUUUUGCAGCAUUUUCUCGAGUGGCCAAUUACCAUCACAAUUACCACAACGCGGCAGACUAUCCGGUAAAAUUCAAGUGUUAUUGUCUCAAGAGUGUCUUGAGAGCUUUUCCGAUCGGCAAGUUUCUUUUUUGGACAUUUUUUCAACGCCUGUACUAAAAUAAAAUUUGGUAGUAACAGAAAAAAAAACAAGUGAAACCUGAAAAUUCUUGGUUAGUUUUUUAAAAAUCAAAUCUUUAUGCUGAAUACAGUUUUGCUUUUUUGAAAAACACCAAUUUCGCAUUAUUUCGUUUGAUACUUCAUUUCCAGAGUGUUCAAGCACUUCCGGCCGCGGGGCGGCCAAGUGGUACAAGGCGCCAACACCAAGCAGACACACCCUGGUUCGAACCCCUGCUCCCCCCCCCUGGCUUCUACUCGCCUACUCACACUCGUUUCGUCAUCAACUAACAACAACUGCAACUCGUAUAAAGAAAAGAAGAAGUACAAGCGAUAUGAUAACAAAAUCCAAUCUAAACGGUACAAAAAGAAGAACAUUCAUCUCUUAAUUCUUGUGUAUGAUAAUCUUGUGAAUGAAUAAAAAAAAAUUUUGCACGCUUUCAACUUACUGUUUGUUGGUGACGGCGGGAAAAAACAAAAAACAAACGUGAGAAACGUUUUAACGGGAUUUUCAGAUAUAUUUUUAAAAAUGUUCAAUAAAAUGUUCAAAAAUUUUCAUAAUAAUAUACAAAACUCUUAAAUCUUUUUUAAAACCAAUAAGCAGACGAAAAUUAAAUGUCAGGUUGAAAAUAUCGAUGAGAAUUCAAUUAAAACAAUAAAACUACAUGAAACGACUCUUUUGUACGAUGAAAUUAAAUCUCGCUUCAUUAAGAAACAUCAAUUUCGAGUUAUUCGUUCGAUACUUCAUUUCCAGUAUGAUCACGCACUUCCGGCCGCGGGCGGCCAUGUGGUACAAGGCGCCAACACCAAGCAGACCCACCCUGGUUCGAACCCCUGCUCCCCCCGCUGGCUUCUACUCGUCUACUCACACUCGUCUCGUCAUCAACUAACAACAACUGCAACUCGUAUAAAGAAAAAAAGAAGUACAAGCGAUAUGAUAAAAAAUCCAAUCUAAACGAUA